GGCUCGGGUGGGAUGAGCGCGCGCGGCGGGGACCAUGGCGUGGGGAGCGCGCGUGGCGGGGCGCGCCCUCGGUCCCUUCCCGGGAGGUGGGUGGUUGACGGGCCCGCCGGGGAGCCAGGGAGCGCCGGGAAGCGCCGGGAAGCCAAGCUGCAGUGUUCCUCAGCAACAAGUCUCGCUGAGAUCCGACCCAGAGUUCGGCCUCUGACUAGACGCCUGGGAAUCCGUGAGCUUAAUCCCCGCUUAAAUCCCAAACGGAAAAUCAUAGCGCUUUCUUGUCGGUUAAGGGUGUCAUUCCCAUAAGAAGCUGGACCUGGGGACCGCCAGGGAAAGCCUGAGCGUGGCAGCAAAUGGGGAGGCCUGGAGGGAUCGCAGCAGUCUUGGACUCGGGAUCUGAAAUUCUCUCCCUAGGAUUUGUAAACAGUGCCAGUUCCUAAGCUAUUUGUUGUCCUAUGGUCUGUCCAUCUUUAAAUCCCACCAGUAACAAUCCAAUCUCCAGGCUGACCCUCUAAACCUGCUUUAGCUGGGCGUUGAUCCGCAGCACCACCAGAAGGCAGUGACGAAGAGGGAAAAAUAAAGUGAACUAGGACCUCCUGUAGAAUAACUCCUCCUGUGGAAUAACUCCUCCUGUGGAAUAAGACUCCAGGUUCUUCGGGGACUCUUGGACUUAC
rnacentral:lncRNA from 1 species